CAGAUUAUAUUCUAAGAGAAAUUAUUAUUUACAAUAAUAAGUUAGUUAUGCAAUUUAACUUAAUCUGA
rnacentral:tRNA from 1 species